UGGGGAAUAUUGGACAAUGGGCGCAAGCCUGAUCCAGCAAUGCCGCGUGAGUGAGGAAGGCCUUAGGGUUGUAAAGCUCUUUCACCCACGACGAUGAUGACGGUAGUGGGAGAAGAAGCCCCGGCUAACUUCGUGCCAGCAGCCGCGGUAAUACGAAGGGGGCGAGCGUUGUUCGGAUUUACUGGGCGUAAAGGGCGCGCAGGCGGCUCAUUUUGUCAGGCGUGAAAGCCCCGGGCUUAACCUGGGAACUGCGCUUGAGACGGGUGGGCUAGAGAUCGGGAGAGGAGAGUGGAAUUCCCAGUGUAGAGGUGAAAUUCGUAGAUAUUGGGAAGAACACCGGUGGCGAAGGCGGCUCUCUGGACCGAUACUGACGCUGAGGCGCGAAAGCGUGGGGAGCAAACAGGAUUAGAUACCCCCGUAGUCC
rnacentral:rRNA from 1 species